rnacentral:rRNA from 1 species
CCCUAUGAGUAGUUUAAAUGGCCGCAGUAUUUUGACUGUGCAAAGGUAGCAUAAUCACUUGCUUCUUAAUUAGGAGCUGGAAUGAAAGAGGCGACGAAAUCUAGACUAUUUAGAUUUUUAGGUAAAUUGACAAGUAGGUCAAAAGGCCCACAUAAACCAGGGGGACGAUAAGACCCUAUAAAACUUUACUUUUAGCGUAUUUGCUUAACGGAGGUGUCUUUACAGUUGAGAGUUAGACUGGGGCGGUGCUUAUAAAAACAAUUAGACAUAUAAUAUAUUAAAUAGUGCGGUAGAGCUCUUUUAAGAAAUAGAACAAGUUACUUUAGGGAUAACAGCGUAAUUCUCCCAGAGAGUCCUAAUUGGCGGGGGAGCUUACGACCUCGAUGUUGAAUUGGGAAACCGUGUGUAAGCAAAAAUAUACAAAGACAGUCUGUUCGACUGGUAAGUUCCC